AAAGUGAACCGACUGCAGCAGCAACGGAAAGCGUCACAAAAAUAGAAUGUUCCUACCCGAACAAUACACGCACUGCUGAGCUCUCUCGUGGUUUCCGAACCAUUGACACUCGCACCUGCUUCAAGAAACCUUAUAUGCGCCCGUUGUUUUUGUUCUCCAAUGUUGUGGAGCAUCUCAUAUGCCGAACGGACGAAAUGUUCGUGAUCAUAUGUGUGACCACUAGACCUCCAGCAUUUCAUUAAAGCAUGUUUUUCUCUCUCUCUAACAAGAGCACCUUCACAUAAAGGCGCGAAAAACGAGGAAACACUCAGGUUUCAAACGAACUUUAUAAAGCAAACGCUAACAAUGAGAAUUUUACUGUAUAUUGCCAUGGGAUGGUUUCUGGUCUGUAUGAUUACAGCGGACGAGGAUGACGAAUCAGGCGAUAAGCCGCAGGAUGGAUCCUCAGAUCAAGAGCAUUCGUCUCGGUCGAAGCCAAAAAUAAUGAACGGCGAUGAAAAUGAUGGGGAGACGCGAAGAAGACGGAGGCGCAGGUCGAAGCCAAAUAAGGUUUAUG